rnacentral:lncRNA from 1 species
CGAUGAACGUCAUCCCUACAUAACAACGGGAUGCAGUGUGACGGGUAAGAUGUUGUAUGACAAGUGUGCACUCCAGCAACACCCGCAGCAAGCUCAGAUAAUGCCAUCUCUCAUGUUUCUUUGAUAUGGCCACUGUGUAAAGCACGCAUGCGUAAAUUCAAACACAGGAUGGGCGUCAACGCACAGCGCCUAGUGACGAGGUACCCACCGCGGCCAUAUCCCCUGCUGGUGUCCUUGGUGACCGGUCACCACAACCACCACGCUCCUGUAACCCACCGAGGUAUGCGCAGCAAGCACCGACGCAGCUUCCACCGCAGCAGACGACGGGGGGCAUCAUCUCCACCGUUGUGCCAUACAUGCAACAGCCACUGUGGGUGGCGAACACGGCGUCACUUUCUCAGGGGACGCCCGCGGCCAUCACAACGGUGUGAUGCAGGCGCGACGUUACGACCGUACCGACUACACUUCGUUUAAUGCAAUCUGGGCC